rnacentral:rRNA from 1 species
UAUGGCUCAGGAAUGAACACUGGCGGCGUGCCUAACACAUGCAAGUCGAACGAAGCAUAGAAGACGGAGAUUCGUCAAAGCCUUCUAUGACUUAGUGGCGGACGGGUGAGUAAUGUAUGAGCAACCUGCCUUUCAGAGGGGGACAACAGUUGGAAACGACUGCUAAUACCGCGUAACGUAAUGAAGGGGCAUCCCUUUAUUACCAAAGGAGCAAUCCGCUGAAAGAUGGGCUCAUAUCUGAUUAGCUUGUUGGCGGGGUAACGGCCCACCAAGGCGACGAUCAGUAGCCGGACUGAGAGGUUGAACGGCCACAUUGGGACUGAGAUACGGCCCAGACUCCUACGGGAGGCAGCAGUGGGGAAUAUUGGGCAAUGGGCGAAAGCCUGACCCAAGCAACGCCGCGUGAAGGAAGAAGGUCUUCGGAUUGUAAACUUCUUUUAUGAGGGACGAAGGACGUGACGGUACCUCAUGAAUAAGCCACGGCUAACUACGUGCCAGCAGCAGC